CAUCACAUAAGCGGGCUUGGGCUCAGUAAGUAAGCCCAUAGAACGGGCCGUUUAAUGCCGUAACACUAAGUUAGUGAAAAUACAAUCCAAUUUUUGAAAGCGCGGGAAAUAGCUCUAGACUCUCACCGGCGGGAAGAAGAUUUCUGUUGAGAAAUGGACGGCGACGAUUUGGAGUUGGAGAAGGCGAGAUUGAUCAGCUUAGCUCUCGAAUUCGGAUUCGACGAGGACUCCGCCAAUAACUGCUUGGAUCGCCUUGUUCAACUAUAUGGUGAUGAUGGGCGAGAUUUCAUCACUGUGGAGCACUGUGGUGAUGACUUUCUUGCAUCACUUGCUGAAUUUAUGCAAGAGACUGAAGCUGAGGAUUGGGAUGAUGUGCAAGCUAUGGAAUCAGAAGCUUGCGGUGCUUUGACUGAGAUUCUGGACAAGGAUCUUCCCAAGAAUUAUGAUUCAGAGGAUAAAGAAAAAAGAAGCAAAAUUCAUGUCAUAGAAGAUUCUCCUGAAUCUCAGAAGCAUCAUAAUGUGAUGCAUUUAGAUACUUCAAGUGACAGUGAAGAGGCAAGCUACAAUAUUUCCGGAAAACGAUUGAAAUCUUCCUCUAGUAUUGCUUUAAAUGGAACUGGCUGGGACCCCUCUCCAAGUUCAGUAAAACCUCCAUCAAUUUCUGCCUAUCGAAAUGAUCCAACUCGAAGUUCAGGUUCAUCAGUUUCUCACGAAACAUGGAACUCCAGUUUAUAUGAGAAUAGUGGAUCUCUCACAUAUGACGAGCUGCAAAAACUAGAUGAUUUUGAAUUGGCAAACAUUGUUGUAUUUGGUAACAGAAGAUUUCGACCCUUGCAGCAUCAAGCAUGUAAAGCAUUUGUUGCUAAUCGUGAUUGUUUUGUUCUUUUGCCCACUGGAGGUGGUAAAAGCCUUUGUUACCAGCUUCCAGCCAUUUUGAAGCCAGGUGUUACAAUUGUUAUAUCUCCACUUCUUUCCCUCAUUCAAGAUCAGAUUGUUGCACUGAAUUUCAAAUAUGGUAUACCAGCUACUUUUUUAAAUUCUCAACAGAAACCAUCACAAGCAGCAGUCGUGCUUCAAGAAUUAAGGAAAGAAAAGCCUUCCUGUAAACUUCUGUAUGUAACUCCAGAAAAGGUUGCUGGAAAUAUGUCAUUUCAGGAGAUCCUAAAAGUUCUGCAUAGGAAGGGACAAUUAGCAGGAUUUGUUGUUGAUGAAGCUCACUGUCUGAGCCAGUGGGGCCAUGACUUCCGUCCGGAUUAUAGAGUAUUAGGAUGCCUCAAACAGAACUUUCCAUAUGUUCCUGUGAUGGCUUUAACUGCCACUGCAACCCCAGUAGUUCGGAAGGAUAUUGUAAACUCGUUGCGAAUCCCCCAAGCAAUGGUGCUAGAGGCAAGUUUUGAUAGGCCAAACUUGAAGUAUGAAGUGAUAGGGAAAACUAAAGAACCGCUCAAACAGCUUGGGAAUUUACUGAUGGAUCGUUUCAAAAAUUUGUGUGGAAUUGUAUAUUGCCUUUCAAAAAAUGAAUGCGUGGAGGUAUCAAAAUUUCUAAAGGAGAAAUUCAAGAUCAAAACAGUGCAUUACCAUGCUGGUUUGGCUGCUCGUCAGAGGAUUGCGGCUCAGCAAAAAUGGCAUAGUGGAGAAGCCCACGUUGUUUGUGCAACCAUAGCUUUUGGGAUGGGAAUAGACAAACCUGAUGUUCGUUUUGUUGUUCACAACACCAUGUCCAAAUCAAUAGAGAGUUACUAUCAGGAAUCUGGAAGGGCAGGACGAGAUAAUCUAUCUUCCAAAUGCAUUCUUCUGUAUCAGAGGAAGGAUUUUAGUCGGAUUGUAUGCAUGCUUAGGAGUGGACAAACUGGUAAAAGAGAAAACUUCAAACUUGCCAUGGAUCAAGCCCGGAAAAUGCAAACAUAUUGUGAACUCAAGGAUGAAUGCCGUAGGCAAGCUUUACUAGAACACUUUGGAGAAUCCUUCGAUCGCAAUGCCUGCAGAAAUGGCUCCAAUCCUUGUGAUAACUGUCUCAAGUUAUCUUCAUGACCAGGAAUGCAUUAUAUUGCUCACCUUUUUCUCCAUUCUAAUUUAUUGAAAUGACUUUGGGCCAGCAUAACCUUCCCCUUUGCUUAGAAGCCCUUCUCAGUGUAGCUCACACCCUCCCAUAACAACAACCAAUCUUGCUACGAUGAAAUCAGGCGGGCCAAAUUUUUAUGGACUUUUAUUGAUAUAGAGAGCUUGAGCUGCUGAGCCAUUGGGGAUAAAUGUAAAUGGUCCAUUGGUACCUUUUUUAUUAACAAGUGGAGGAGGAGGACUAGAGAAAGAUACAUUCUUCCUUAGCUUGAGGAGCUGAAAUUGAGGACGAGCCACCUCGAUUCUAGCAAUUUCAAAAGGUUGAGAGAGAUGUGUUUGAAAUGUAUACAACAAAUCAUGGUUCAUGGAGAAUAUUGACAUCAAAACAAGCACUGUUUGAACACCCAAACUCCCAUGUGCCCACAAAAUCAGAAGAAAGGGAAAACGUGGUUUGACUAACAUGGGCUAGUCCAUCUCUGUGUCUGCUCAAAUUUAUGCUCAGGUCACAACACAGUUAGCAUCAUAUGAUAUCGGAAUCUAGAUGGGCCCUCAAUCAGAGAUCUAGCCACAAGGAUUUUGAACCAAUCAUCUUGAUCACUAGCACAUGCAAACACCUUGCCAUUUGGUAUGAUUUUAACAACUCCUCCACCCACUAUUUUAUUUAUACAAUCUUGAAUAUUUUUGGCCCUGCCCCAAAUUCUGCUAAUCUUAGAAAUCACUCACCAAGAUUUAGGGUACGGCAUGAGAAUUGAGAAAAUAUGAAAUCAUUAUCUCUCUUUUUCCUCCCUCCCUCCCUUUUUUUAUUGGUUUUAUAAGAAUGAAAGUGCAUCGGAGUAAUUAUAGGGUUUUGAGUAGUGGUUGAAAAUGAAGAAUAGUGCCAAAUACUCCUUGGCCCACAAUAAACCCUUUGACGUUGGGUACAGUUUGAAAUUUGGGCUAUAAUUUUGGUUGGAGG